GACGAAGGUGGCGAGCGUUGUUCGGAAUCACUGGGCAUAAAGCGCACGUAGGCGGCGACGUAAGUUGGGUGUGAAAUCCCUCGGCCCAACCGAGGAACUGCGCCCAGUACUGCGUUGCUUGAGGAUCCAAGGGGUGCAUGGAAUUCCCGGUGGAGCGGUGAAAUGCGUUGAUAUCGGGAGGAACUCCGGCGGCGAAAGCGGUGCACUGGUGGAUUACUGACGCUGAGGUGCGAAAGCCAGGGGAGCAAACAGG
rnacentral:rRNA from 1 species